rnacentral:rRNA from 1 species
UCAGGCCUAACACAUGCAAGUCGAGCGGGGUUUUCGGACCUAGCGGCGGACGGGUGAGUAAUGCGUAGGAAGCUACCCGACAGAGGGGGAUACCAGUUGGAAACGACUGUUAAUACCGCAUAAUGUCUACGGACCAAAGUGUGGGACCUUCGGGCCACAUGCUGUCGGAUGCGCCUACGUGGGAUUAGCUAGUUGGUGAGGUAAUGGCUCACCAAGGCGACGAUCCCUAGCUGGUUUGAGAGGAUGAUCAGCCACACUGGAACUGAGACACGGUCCAGACUCCUACGGGAGGCAGCAGUGGGGAAUAUUGGACAAUGGGCGCAAGCCUGAUCCAGAAGUGCCGCGUGUGUGAAGAAGGCCUUCGGGUUUAAAUAAAUGUCAGCGAGGAGGAAGGGUU